UCACGAUCGAUGGACAAACUUGCGUCAC
rnacentral:sRNA from 1 species